rnacentral:rRNA from 1 species
UACGUAGGUCCCGAGCGUUGUCCGGAUUUAUUGGGCGUAAAGCGAGCGCAGGUGGUUUAAUAAGUCUGAUGUAAAAGGCAGUGGCUCAACCAUUGUGUGCAUUGGAAACUGUUAGACUUGAGUGCAGUAGAGGAGAGUGGAAUUCCAUGUGUAGCGGUGAGAUGCGUAGAUAUAUGGAGGAACACCGGUGGCGAAAGCGGCUCUCUGGACUGUAACUGACACUGAGGCUCGAAAGCGUGGGUAGCAAACAGG